GAAAGAAAUGGAUGAGAAAGAAUCUGUAUAGUAUAAGGGACCAUAUAUAAGUCGUGGACGCUCAGCGAUCUUUAAACAUCUUCUUGAGAGAUCAGGGUGGAUUUGCAUCAGCCUCGAAGCUAGUUCAAACUAGUGGGAGGUUGUUUGCAAGGGAAAAGAAACUAGCUAGAAAAUUAGGAAGAGAAAACAAAAAUCACCAAGAAAGAAGGAAAACUUAGUCCAAUAUAGCUGAUCAAUGGCUCGAGGAAAGGUUCAGAUAAAGCGUAUAGAGAAUCUGGUGCAUAGGCAAGUUACCUUCUGCAAGCGCCGAGCUGGGUUCCUUAAGAAGGCUAAGGAGCUCUCUGUGCUCUGUGAUGCUGAAAUUGGAGUUUUCAUUUUCUCCGCCCAUGGAAAGCUCUAUGAACUGGCUACCAAAGGAAGCAUGCAAGGGCUUAUUGAGAGGUACAUGAAGACCACCGGAGGAUCUCUGCAGCCUGGCCUAUCCAAAGAGACGCAGCCUCUAGAUGCAAUAGAGGAGAUCAACAUGCUGAAGAAAGAAAUUGAGAUACUCCAAAAAG
rnacentral:misc_RNA from 1 species